UCAGUGGUUGCUUAGUGGCAGAAUUCUUGCCUUGCAUGCAGGAGACCUGGGUUUGAUUCCUGGCCAAUGUA
rnacentral:tRNA from 1 species